AUAGCGUAUAUUUAAGUUGUUGCAGUUAAAAAGCUCGUAGUUAGAUCUGUGCUGGUCGCCCGGUCUGCCCACUGGGCACGCACUGGUGCGGCCGGCUUUCCUGCCCGGUUUUGCCCGGCGUUGGCCUUCACCGGUCGGCGUCGGUGGCUGGGCGAGUUUACUUUGAACAAAUCAGAGUGCUUCAAACAAGCGUUUCGCUUGAAUGUUCGUGCAUGGAAUAAUAGAAGAGGAUUUCGGUCCGAUUUUAUUGGUUUUGCUGACCGAGAUAAUGGUUAACAGAGACAAACGGGGCCAUUCGUAUUGCUACGUGAGAGGUGAAAUUCUUGGACCGUAGCAAGACGGACUACAG
rnacentral:rRNA from 1 species